AUUGAACGCUGGCGGCAUGCUUUACACAUGCAAGUCGAGCGGCAGCGCGGGGGCAACCCUGGCGGCGAGCGGCGAACGGGUGAUUAAUGCAUCGGAACGUAUCCUCGAGUGGGGGAUAACCCAGCGAAAGUUGGGCUAAUACCGCAUGAGCUCUGAGGAGGAAAGCGGGGGACCUGCGAGGGCCUCGCGCUGGAGGAGCGGCCGAUGUCCGAUUAGCUAGUUGGUGGGGUAAAGGCUUACCAAGGCGACGAUCGGUAGCUGGUCUGAGAGGAUGAUCAGCCACACUGGGACUGAGACACGGCCCAGACUCCUACGGGAGGCAGCAGUGGGGAAUUUUGGACAAUGGGGGCAACCCUGAUCCAGCCAUGCCGCGUGAGUGAAGAAGGCCUUCGGGUUGUAAAGCUCUUUCGGACGGAACGAAAUGGGCGGGACUAAUACUCCUGUCUGAUGACGGUACCGUAAGAAGAAGCACCGGCUAACUACGUG
rnacentral:rRNA from 1 species